rfam:Myotis brandtii contig315887, whole genome shotgun sequence.
UAGGGGGAGGAUAGAUGACUCUCUGGUACUGAGGUAACUAGAGCUCACAGUACCAGACAGUCCUCUAACCUCCCCCUACA